rnacentral:rRNA from 1 species
UACGUAGGGUGCGAGCGUUGUCCGGAAUUAUUGGGCGUAAAGAGCUCGUAGGCGGUCUGUCGCGUCGGUCGUGAAAACUUGGGGCUUAACCCUGAGCUUGCGGUCGAUACGGGCAUGACUGGAGUUCGGCAGGGCAGACUGGAAUUCCUGGUGUAGCGGUGAAAUGCGCAGAUAUCAGGAAGAACACCCGUGGCUAAGGCGGUCUCUAGUACGGUACUGAUCGCUGAGACGCGAAAGCGUGGGGAGCGAACAGG